GACGAACGCUGGCGGCGUGCCUAAUACAUGCAAGUAGAACGCUGAAGAGAGGAGCUUGCUCUUCUUGGAUGAGUUGCGAACGGGUGAGUAACGCGUAGGUAACCUGCCUUGUAGCGGGGGAUAACUAUUGGAAACGAUAGCUAAUACCGCAUAACAAUGGAUGACACAUGUCAUUUAUUUGAAAGGGGCAAUUGCUCCACUACAAGAUGGACCUGCGUUGUAUUAGCUAGUAGGUGAGGUAAUGGCUCACCUAGGCGACGAUACAUAGCCGACCUGAGAGGGUGAUCGGCCACACUGGGACUGAGACACGGCCCAGACUCCUACGGGAGGCAGCAGGAGGGAAUCUUCGGCAAUGGGGGCAAACCUGACCGAGCAACGCCGCGUGAGUGAAGAAGGUUGUCGGAUCGUAAAGCUCUGUUGUAAGUCAAGAACGGGUGUGAGAGUGGAAAGUUCACACUGUGACGGUAGCUUACCAGAAAGGGACGGCUAACUACGUG
rnacentral:rRNA from 1 species